rnacentral:rRNA from 1 species
UACGUAGGGUGCAAGCGUUGUCCGGAAUUAUUGGGCGUAAAGAGCUCGUAGGCGGUUUGUCGCGUCUGCUGUGAAAACUCGGGGCUCAACCCCGAGCCUGCUUCCGAUACGGGCAGACUAGAGGUAUGCAGGGGAGAAUGGAAUUCCUGGUGUAGCGGUGAAAUGCGCAGAUAUCAGGAGGAACACCGGUGGCGAAGGCGGUUCUCUGGGCCGACACUGACACUGAGAGACGAAAGCUAGGGGAGCGAAUGGG